UAUAUAUUGUAUACGUAUUGUAUUAAUAUAAUAUCGAUAUGACUUAAUCGUUUAAUCGAUAAUCAUUUGAAAAAUCGUGAACGGAAAUACAAUUAAAUGUUAUCGUAAUGAUUAAAUAACGAGACGGAAUUAUACGAAAUUAGAUUCAAUUGAAUUUGAUACAAUUACGAGUGUAAAUCGUGUUAUUUAAUUUAUCGAUCGAGUCAUCCAUUUAUUUUUUUUCAUUCUUAUACCGGAUAAGAUGGCGUCUUGGUUUAAGCUAAGAUAUACUUUCGUUAAUACGUUACUUCUUAUUUCGAAAAGUGUUGAAUAUUGUAAUAGUUAGAAACAUGUAUAUUAUAGGAAUAAAUAUUUUAUCGGUAGUACUUUCUUUUAAAUUUAUAAUAAUCGAUAUAUUUAAGUCUUUAGUAACGACACUCAUUGAUAUUAUACUAUUACCAACCGAGUUUUAUGAUAAAACAGAACAACCGGGUGAACGUCGGUAAAAAUGUUUCAGUUACAUACAUACGGUGAAUUCCGAAGAAGUUUUUUAGUCUACAUUUACAGAAGCUCGUGUUCGUUUCGUUAUCGUCAACAUGUUUUGUUUUUUCUUCCUUUUAUUUUUUCCUUUUAUCAAAACCAACAACGUGUUAAGGGCUAGUAAGAAGGAGAUGAAGGAGUAAAAGGAGGAAGAGGAGAUGGUAGUAUCUUCUCUUGUUAACUUGAAAAUUAAAAUUGCAACAAAAGCAAA